rnacentral:rRNA from 1 species
CACGUAGGGGACGAGCGUUGUCCGGAAUUACUGGGCGUAAAGGGCGCGUAGGCUGCGCGUCGAGUCGGCUGUUAAAUGUCCGGGCUUAACCCGGUGAAGCGGUCGAGACCGACGAGCUUGAGUGCUGCAGAGGCAAGUGGAAUUCCCGGAGUAGCGGUGAAAUGCGUAGAUAUCGGGAAGAACACCGGUGGCGAAGGCGACUUGCUGGUCAGCAACUGACGCUGAGGCGCGAAAGCCAGGGGAGCAAACGGGAUUAGAUACCCCGGUAGUCCUGGCCGUAAACGAUGAAUGCUAGGUGUGCGUGCAGAGAUGCAUACGUGCCGUAGUUAACGCGAUAAGCAUUCCGCCUGGGGAGUACGGUCGCAAGAUUGAA